rnacentral:rRNA from 1 species
ACGAACGCUGGCGGCAGGCCUAACACAUGCAAGUCGGACGGUAGCACAGAGAGCUUGCUCUCGGGUGACGAGUGGCGGACGGGUGAGUAAUGUCUGGGGAUCUGCCCGAUAGAGGGGGAUAACCACUGGAAACGGUGGCUAAUACCGCAUAACGUCGCAAGACCAAAGAGGGGGACCUUCGGGCCUCUCACUAUCGGAUGAACCCAGAUGGGAUUAGCUAGUAGGCGGGGUAAUGGCCCACCUAGGCGACGAUCCCUAGCUGGUCUGAGAGGAUGACCAGCCACACUGGAACUGAGACACGGUCC